CAUACACAUUAGACGUGGUAUUUUUCAGAGUGAUUCCCUGAGUCCACUUUGGUUCUGUCUUGCCCUAAAUUCACUUUCCAACAAUUUGAACACAUCGAAUUGUGGCUACAACAGUAGACAAAACCGAACAACACAUUACACACAUUCUCAUCUUUAAAUGUGGAUGAUAUUAAAUUGUACGUCUCAACACAAACACAACUUCAGUAGCUCUUACAAAUCACACACAUUUUCAAAAGACAUCUGCAUGGAGUUUGGCCUAGACAAAUGCAAAACACUCCACAUAGAAAAGGAAGUCCUAAAGAAAGAAGACUCCAUUCUUGCAAAUGGAAGCACUAUCAAAUCCAUGGAAGAGGGUGAGGUGUACAAGUAUUUGAGAUUCCAGCAGGCCAGACUCACAGAAC
rnacentral:lncRNA from 1 species